CGCGCAGGCGGCUUGGCAAGUCGGGUGUGAAAUCCCGGGGCUCAACCCCGUGACUGCAUUCGAUACUGUCAGGCUAGAGGUAGGUAGGGGAGAUCGGAAUUCCUGGUGUAGCGGUGAAAUGCGCAGAUAUCAGGAGGAACACCGGUGGCGAAGGCGGAUCUCUGGGCCUUACCUGACGCUCAGGCGCGAAAGCUAGGGAGCGAACA
rnacentral:rRNA from 1 species